AAUAUGAAUCACAGUUUAUUCACACUAAUAUGAAUGCUAUAUCAUUUUAGUACUAAUACUUCUUGCUGUUACAAUCAUUAUUUCAAUGGCAGUGUAUGCACUGAAUGUGAACUUGGUUAAUACGCCCACAUUUGCACUAGUCCUUGCCCAACAAAAUCUUAUGGAUGAUUUUGUAAUGAACCCCGUGGUAUCUGCAGCAACUGUGAUGCAAAGCUUUGAUGCUUAGAUGGUAAUAUUAGCUCUAGUAGAUCGAUUAACGUAACAGAUAUGCAAAUUAUACAACAAAAACUAUCUACAUAUGUACUCCUUUGGAUGAUAGCCUUAAAACAAGUGUUCCUUCUUCUUACAAUAAUUUAUCAACGUCAAAUUUGCGAACAGCAUAAACAAUCCCUUCUAUGGUCGUUACUUCAUCCUCGACAACUCUGCAAGUCCCAAUCAUUAUAAGUAAACCUGAUUCUCCAUUCAACAACAACGUAGUAACCAUAGGUAUUCUAGGCAUAGGAGGCGCCCUCUGCCUGUUACUGACAAUUUUAGUCGUCCAGUGUUGCGU